rnacentral:lncRNA from 1 species
AAAUUAAAUCCCAAAUAAUAAAAUAAAAUAAAAACUAAAUCAAAUAGUUAAAAAUAAAAUGAAAAUAAAAAUAAAAUAAAACAAAAGUAAAAACGAGUCCUAUUAUUUAGUCACCCGGACGAAAUUGGGUGUUGACAAAAUGAAAUAAAAUAAAAUAAAAUAAAAUCACAUAAAAUCAAAUAAAAUCAAAUAAAAUCAAACACCCAUCAGUAGGUGUUCAUACUCCCCUUUCUUGAUAUUCUUUUCUUUUUCUUCUUCUUGCUGAAUUUCUUCAUAAAGUUAAGAAUACCAAGCACAUGCUUCCAUGUUUCAAUCAUAGGAACUUUAAUCUCCAAUUUCUUGAAGAUCGCCAACUUGAACUUCUUUCCUUUCCUAUGAUUUUUCUUUUUAUGAGGAAGAGGUUUUUCAUGUGAUAUUUUCUUCUUUCCUCUCUUCCUCUUUUUCUCAACCUUCUCCUUCCACUUUUUUUUUUAUUUUCUUAUUUUUUUCUUUUUUCUCAACCAUUGCUUUUUCUUUCUCAGUCUUCUUCUCACUCUCAUUCAACUUUUCUGUUUCUAUCUCCUCUAUCUUGUCUGCAGCAACAAUCUUUUUUGUUCUUGUUUCUUCUCCAUACGUCUCUAGCUCUUCUUCUUCUAUCUUUUCCUCCUUGACAACCUUAUCAUUUGUAAAGAUAGUGGCUUAACAUUCUUCUGUAGGGUUAACUUCAGUAUUAACCUUAAUAACGCCCAGAGACUUCAAGACCUUUGUUAUCUCAUCUUCCUCUAUCUUUUCUUCAUCAAUAAUCCUGUCAUCCUCAAAGAUAGGAGCUUGACAUUCUUCAUUAGGUUAACUUCAGUAUUAACCCUAAUAAUACCCAGAGACUUCAACGCAUGAGAGUGUUGUUCCUGCAGUAAACGUUCUUUGGCUUCCCCCAACGUUUCUUUUCGCACUGAGAAUAAUUUCUGCUGUAAACGUUGCUUAGCUUCCCCCAAUGUUUCUUUUGGCCAAGAGGAAUGUUGCCCAAAUUGGCUAUGAUCAAAGUUCGAAUGAGUUUCCCACCAGUGAUCAAAACUAUUUUGGUAGAAUCGAGUGCCUACAGAAUUAAAUUCUUGUCCAAACUACAUUCUGCAAAGAUUAGUGAUGAGUCGUUAUUUCUUGAACCAUAUUUAGUUUAUUGCACUUAAAUAAACUAGGGAAUUGUGUUUAAUUGUCUGUUAUUUCCCCGUUUUCCAGAUUCUGCUUAAUUUGGUCGGAAAUUCGUAAUUGUGCUAAUUUGAAUUUUCUGAGCUGAUUAAUUGCAUUUUUGGGUGCAGGGAAAUUUUGGAAACAUCAU